GGGUUGUGAGGUUAAGCGAACAAGCGUACACGGUGGAUGCCCUGGCAGUCAGAGGCGAUGAAGGACGUGCUAAUCUGCGAAAAGCGCCGGUAAGGUGAUAUGAACCGUUAUAACCGGCGAUGUCCGAAUGGGGAAACCCGGUGCACUUCGGUGCAUCAUCGUUAGCUGAAUACAUAGGCUAACGAGGCGAACCGGGGGAACUGAAACAUCUAAGUACCCCGAGGAAAAGAAAUCAACCGAGAUUCCCCCAGUAGCGGCGAGCGAACGGGGAACAGCCCAGAGCCUGAAUCAGCUUGUGUGUCAGUGGAACGGUCUGGAAAGGCCGGCGAUACAGGGUGACAGCCCCGUACACGAAGGCACACAGGCUGUGAGCUCGAUGAGUAGGGCGGGACACGUGAUAUCCUGUCUGAAGAUGGGGGGACCAUCCUCCAAGGCUAAAUACUCCUGACUGACCGAUAGUGAACCAGUACCGUGAGGGAAAGGCGAAAAGAACCCCGGCGAGGGGAGUGAAACAGAACCUGAAACCGUGUACGUACAAGCAGUGGGAGCCUUCGUAAGAGGGUGACUGCGUACCUUUUGUAUAAUGGGUCAGCGACUUAUAUUCUGUAGCAAGGUUAACCGUAUAGGGGAGCCGAAGGGAAACCGAGUCUUAACCGGGCGUUAAGUUGCAGGGUAUAGACCCGAAACCCGGUGAUCUAGCCAUGGGCAGGUUGAAGGUUGGGUAACACUAACUGGAGGACCGAACCGACUAAUGUUGAAAAAUUAGCGGAUGACCUGUGGCUGGGGGUGAAAGGCCAAUCAAACCGGGAGAUAGCUGGUUCUCCCCGAAAGCUAUUUAGGUAGCGCCUCGUGAACUCAUCUCCGGGGGUAGAGCACUGUUUCGGCUAGGGGGCCAUCCCGGCUUACCAACCCGAUGCAAACUGCGAAUACCGGAGAAUGUUAUCACGGGAGACACACGGCGGGUGCUAACGUCCGUCGUGAAGAGGGAAACAACCCAGACCGCCAGCUAAGGUCCCAAAGUCAUGGUUAAGUGGGAAACGAUGUGGGAAGGCCCAGACAGCCAGGAUGUUGGCUUAGAAGCAGCCAUCAUUUAAAGAAAGCGUAAUAGCUCACUGGUCGAGUCGGCCUGCGCGGAAGAUGUAACGGGGCUAAACCAUGCACCGAAGCUGCGGCAGCGACGCUUAUGCGUUGUUGGGUAGGGGAGCGUUCUGUAAGCCUGUGAAGGUGUGCUGUGAGGCAUGCUGGAGGUAUCAGAAGUGCGAAUGCUGACAUAAGUAACGAUAAAGCGGGUGAAAAGCCCGCUCGCCGGAAGACCAAGGGUUCCUGUCCAACGUUAAUCGGGGCAGGGUGAGUCGACCCCUAAGGCGAGGCCGAAAGGCGUAGUCGAUGGGAAACAGGUUAAUAUUCCUGUACUUGGUGUUACUGCGAAGGGGGGACGGAGAAGGCUAUGUCGGCCGGGCGACGGUUGUCCCGGUUUAAGCGUGUAGGCUGACUUUCCAGGCAAAUCCGGAAAGUUAAGGCUGAGGCGUGAUGACGAGGCACCACGGUGCUGAAGUGACAAAUGCCCUGCUUCCAGGAAAAGCCUCUAAGCAUCAGGUAACAUCAAAUCGUACCCCAAACCGACACAGGUGGUCAGGUAGAGAAUACCAAGGCGCUUGAGAGAACUCGGGUGAAGGAACUAGGCAAAAUGGUGCCGUAACUUCGGGAGAAGGCACGCUGACAUGUAGGUGAAGCCCCUGCGGGUGGAGCUGAAGUCAGUCGAAGAUACCAGCUGGCUGCAACUGUUUAUUAAAAACACAGCACUGUGCAAACACGAAAGUGGACGUAUACGGUGUGACGCCUGCCCGGUGCCGGAAGGUUAAUUGAUGGGGUUAUCGCAAGAGAAGCUCCUGAUCGAAGCCCCGGUAAACGGCGGCCGUAACUAUAACGGUCCUAAGGUAGCGAAAUUCCUUGUCGGGUAAGUUCCGACCUGCACGAAUGGCGUAAUGAUGGCCAGGCUGUCUCCACCCGAGACUCAGUGAAAUUGAACUCGCUGUGAAGAUGCAGUGUACCCGCGGCAAGACGGAAAGACCCCGUGAACCUUUACUACAGCUUGACACUGAACAUUGAGCCUUGAUGUGUAGGAUAGGUGGGAGGCUUUGAAGCGUGGACGCCAGUCUGCGUGGAGCCAACCUUGAAAUACCACCCUUUAAUGUUUGAUGUUCUAACCUGGCGCCGUAAUCCGGCGUGGGGACAGUGUCUGGUGGGUAGUUUGACUGGGGCGGUCUCCUCCCAAAGUGUAACGGAGGAGCACGAAGGUCAGCUAAUCCUGGUCGGACAUCAGGAGGUUAGUGCAAUGGCAUAAGCUGGCUUGACUGCGAGAGUGACGGCUCGAGCAGGUGCGAAAGCAGGUCAUAGUGAUCCGGUGGUUCUGUAUGGAAGGGCCAUCGCUCAACGGAUAAAAGGUACUCCGGGGAUAACAGGCUGAUACCGCCCAAGAGUUCAUAUCGACGGCGGUGUUUGGCACCUCGAUGUCGGCUCAUCACAUCCUGGGGCUGAAGUAGGUCCCAAGGGUAUGGCUGUUCGCCAUUUAAAG
rnacentral:rRNA from 1 species